rnacentral:rRNA from 1 species
UACAGAGGGUGCAUGCGUUGUUCGGAAUUACUGGGCGUAAAGCGCGUGUAGGCGGCGUCGUUAGUCGGAUGUGAAAGCCCUCGGCUCAACCGAGGAAGUGCAUCCGAUACUGCGAUGCUUGAGUGUUGGAGGGGGUGGCGGAAUUCCCGGUGUAGAGGUGAAAUUCGUAGAUAUCGGGAGGAACACCUGUGGCGAAGGCGGCCACCUGGACAACAACUGACGCUGAGACGCGAAAGCGUGGGUAGCAAACAGG